GACGAACGCUGGCGGCGUGCUUAACACAUGCAAGUCGAACGGAAAGGCCCUGCUUUUGUGGGGUGCUCGAGUGGCGAACGGGUGAGUAACACGUGAGUAACCUGCCCUUGACUUUGGGAUAACUUCAGGAAACUGGGGCUAAUACCGGAUAGGAGCUCCUGCUGCAUGGUGGGGGCUGGAAAGUUUCGGCGGUUGGGGAUGGAUUCGCGGCUUAUCAGCUUGUUGGUGGGGUAGUGGCUUACCAAGGCUUUGACGGGUAGCCGGCCUGAGAGGGUGACCGGCCACAUUGGGACUGAGAUACGGCCCAGACUCCUACGGGAGGCAGCAGUGGGGAAUAUUGCACAAUGGGCGGAAGCCUGAUGCAGCAACGCCGCGUGCGGGAUGACGGCCUUCGGGUUGUAAACCGCUUUCGCCUGUGACGAAGCGUGAGUGACGGUAAUGGGUAAAGAAGCACCGGCUAACUACGUG
rnacentral:rRNA from 1 species